CAAUAGCGUAUAUUAAAGUUGUUGCGGUUAAAAAGCUCGUAGUUGGAUUUCUGCUGAGAACGACCGGUCCGCCCUCUGGGUGUGUAUCUGGCUCCUUCUUGGCAUCUUCUUGGUGAACGUUGCUGCACUUGACUGUGUGGAGCGCUACCCAGGACUUUUACUUUGAGGAAAUUAGAGUGUUUCAAGCAGGCAUACGCCUUGAAUACAUUAGCAUGGAAUAAUAAGAUAGGACCUCGGUUCUAUUUUGUUGGUUUCUAGAGCUGAGGUAAUGAUUAAUAGGGAUAGUUGGGGGCAUUCGUAUUUAACUGUCAGAGGUGAAAUUCUUGGAUUUAUGAAAGACGAACUUCUGCGAAAGCAUUUGCCAAGGAUGUUUUCAUUAA
rnacentral:rRNA from 1 species